rnacentral:tRNA from 4 species
GGGGAUGUGGCGAAAUUGGCAGCCGCGCUAGAUUUAGGUUCUAGUGGUGAAAUAUCCGUGUGGGUUCGACCCCCUCCAUCCCUA